UUAGAAUCUUGUUGAAAUGCACAUCUGCUU
rnacentral:piRNA from 1 species